AACCCUCCAGUCUUCCAGACCAAAUCAUACGGCAUCACAGUGUGGGAGAGGAUUGCUGUGGGUUCAACUGUGCUCACUGUGUCAGCUACUGAUAAUGAUGUAGCUGCACUAAACAAAAAAACUCUAUAUUCUAUUCUGCCUCCAGUACCAGAU